CGCUCAGAAUAGUGGCACAAAAAUAACGCCAUAGAUUACCUGGAUGACUGAGCACGCAUCACCACUGAGCAACAACAGUCAAUUACUUUUCAUAACUCCGCAAACCUCUGAUGUCAGUGUGUGUCUGUGUGUGUGUUGCUGUUUGGAGACAUUAAUCAUUUUAUGUGGUCACAUUUUGUUGGACCCGCCUCCUUCUCGAGGUGUGACGUAUGGCGUAUGGAGAUUGGUUGAAAGUGACCUAUUGUUAGAGCAGCUUUGCAUGAUUUACAGCUCAAAAUAAUCCUUCUUUAUCUGAAUCUGGCCCUGGGAACUUCCUUUCAAAGUGGAAUAAAGAAAAUUUGUGUUGUAUUUGUAUUUGUUGUAACUUCUGCUGCCCUCUUGGAAAACAGACACUUGAAACCCAAACACCAUUUCAUGCUACAUUAUCCUGGAGCCAUCGGAAAAUUGGGCCCAUAGUUCAUUUCUGGUCUGUGCGCUUUGAGGCAAACUUGGAUUUUUCUAAUGAGUAAGUCGUGUGAAUUGCAGCUUUUGGAAUAUUUGUAAAUCCCAGGCCUACAGACACCAAAUAAUGAUGUGCUACACUCUUUUUUCUGACCUUGACGUUGGGCCAGGAAGCACCAGACUGCUCGAUUCGCACAUGAUUUUGAAAAAGUCACAAGUGGAUUUGAGGGAAGUUCUGUUUUCACACAAGUGUUUCUGCCAUCCUGGAUUAAGUACAAAGGUACAAACUACAGGCCGGGAAUGACACUAUUAUCACUCUGAAGAUGGGAACCUGUGCUGAACUGUUAACAGCACAGUGACGGAUUUGAGCUGUAAAAAAGCUGAUGUGCUGAUUUUACACCACCUACUGAACUGCAAACCGGAGUUUCUUCAGACAAAGGAGCAACAUUUGUAAGUUCAGCUAUGCCAUCAGGCUUUUUUAUCCAUGUACAUUCAUUUGAAUGACAAUUAAAAAUGAGAAAUGUUAUCUUUGCUUUAACUUUUGAGCAUAUUAAAACGAUUCGUUUCCUGAAGUGCUGUGUGGCAGGCAGGAUGUAGGACCCAAACGCGGGACUCGGAGACAGGAGGAUUAACGACAAGCAGCAGCUUUACUGCUGCAGAACGUUUGAAUAUAAAAUACAAGAAAACUAAACUAGAAACUCCAGUUCAAAGUAGAAAACACAAACACGACAGAGAACCAGAGUGUUACUAAGCACAGAGAGAAACACGGACAGGACAACGAGAGGAUGGGGACAGGUGGUAACACACCAGGGACACAUCAGACCUAACGAGACGAGGGGACGCAUACCCACACACACUGCACCCAGGACAGGGACUAUCAAAAUAAAACAGGAAACACACGACAGGCACAGGGGCACGGCCGUGACACUGAACAGAGGGAACACGGAGCACAGGGACGGCGUGACAAACUGCCACAGGACACAGGAUAUGAUGUGUGGUUCAGCCCCGGCAGAAAACUCAGGCCAGCAGCAGGAUUUCUGGAGGAACGUGUACGCAGUGUCAGGUGAAGGCUUCGUUCUGGCAGGAAGAAGAACUCAGCAGCACAGGAACGCCAAAAACACUGCCUCAUUUUGUCUGAACCAGAACAGAACAACAUCUGGCUCAGGUUUCCCGACACAUGCUGCAAACUGCCAUCCACAGAGCAACGUGGACCCGGUCAAACGGGACGGUCCCACUUCAGCAAAUUUUCACCCCGGGCAUGCUGAGGUCACAUCUCAUGGACUAAGGACCUGUUCAACACUCAGAAAUGUCACAGGAUUUCACAGGAUUUCACAGGAUUUCUGUGUGACUCUUCUGGGAUCCUGUUGUUCUUGACAAAGAUCAUGCGCAUGGCCAAGAAGGAAAGGAGUGGUGAUCUUCUCCAAAACACUGGUUUGCUCCCAAAAGCUUACAGACAGGAAGGUGACGUAGCCCUACAGCUGCUGCCAGCACUCCUCCCUGCUGCACCUUACAAAGUAGGAAGAAAGGUUUUCAGGAACCUGGAAGUUGAGAAGGCCUUUACUGAUAUCCAGCCUGUUGGGAUAAACAUGGGCUGUAUCCCAAUUCAGAGGCUGCAUCCUUGGAGGACCCGGCCUUCGGUCUCGUGGGCCGCGUCCUCCGAAGACCGAAAAGGCUGGAGCACGAGGCUUGUGAACUGGGAUGCUCUAGCCUUCAAGUCACCAGCUGUACACGCCCGUACCACUUCUCCCGAUCAGUGAAAUGGAAAUGCGGAAAACAUACCCGCUACUCUCGUCUUUCUUCUACUUGAAGAGCGACAACAAAAUCAGUCGUCACAGACGAGUGAUUUUCCUGUGACUAAGACAUAACAACGUUCAGACCAGACCGCUGUCCUGCAGGAGUAACUUGCAGUUACUCCUCCUCCCAGUCCUGGACAGGUUUUUAAAUGAUGAGGCCUGAUUUUCAGCUGAGCAGGGAGUCUCUGAAAGUGCUGCUGAAUCUACUUAAUCAGGAUCGGAGACAUGGUUGGGGUGCCACAAUUGAGGUCCUUGUGUUUCUGUUCUGGCUGGCAAGUGGAGCAUCCUACAGAGUCGUCUCCAGGGUGUUUGCAAUACCUCGUUCCACUGUUCACCGCAUCGUCCACAGGGUCACAGAGGAGGUGGUGGCCAUUUGCCAUCAGGUCAUCCACCUCCCUCGGACCCCUGAAGAUCUAGACAUUGUCUCAUGGGUUUGCAGAGCUGGCAGGACACAGAGCCUUUUUAAAAGCUGCUGGUGCAACUGAUUGCUGCCAUGUCCGCAUCAAGCCUCCCAGCGGCCCUGACGGUCUCUGCUACAGGAACAGGAAAUUGUUCCCCUCCAUAAUCCUGCAGGCUGUUUGCGACCAUCUGGGCUGCUUCAUCGAUACAUUGUGGGCUGGCCGGGGUCAGUUCAUGACUCCAGGAUGCUACGCAACAGCCCACUGUACCGACAGGCCCUUUACCCUCCUCCAGGGCAUUUCAUCCUUGCAGAUGGCGGGUACCCAUGUCUCUACCAUCUACUCCCCCUCAUCACUCCCUACAAGAGGCCAGUCCGUGGUGUGGGAGCCCAGCGCUUCAACCCUCAUCAUUCCAAAAGCACGCUCUAUAAUAGUGUGUGCUUUUGGAAUGAUGAAGACGAGGUUCUGGGCCAUCUUCCUCCAAGCGCUGGAGGUGCACCACACCUUUGUACCUCAUAUAAGUCAGUAGAAUACAUAGCCAUUGUUUUUUGAAUAAUCAUAAUGACAUAAAGGGAACUACAGUGUAUGUUCAUGUAUAAACAUGUUAUUUACAAAACAUCUGUUUCGGGUCAUAACAGCAUGUGCUGUUCUGCACAACAUCUGCCUCGGUGCUGGUGACGUUGUGGCCCCGGAGGAUGAGCCCGAGGAUGAUGUGAAAGAUGAUGGGGGGACUGGUUUGGAGGCAGUCAGUGGGGCUCUCUGGUGGGACCAGCUAUCUGCUGAGGUGUCUGCCCUGGAGGAGGUACCCCUGGACCAUGAUUAUUGUUAACAGGCAGCAUACAUUUUAGUGACAUGGCAGCUGUCAGCUAUCAGCCCUGCACACCCAAGUGAAACAUGAUGCGGUGGACAGUAGAAAUGAGCAUCCCUGAACAACUUCUGGCUACCACGCCAUGUGAUGCUCGGCUGGAAACGCAAACCAAGGGUUUCACUUGUGGCACCUCAUUCAUGUGGUUGGUCCUGGUCCAGCAGAUUGAGCAGCGAGACUUCCUGCUCAGCCAAAUAACAGGUCUAGUUAACAGUCCCUGUGCACUCAGGUUAAUCCUGGACUUCAAUGAUAAGUCUUAUCGAUUAAUUAUCCUGUUUUGUUUUUUCCCCACUGUUGAUAUUCCCUCAGUUCAGACAAUUUCUUAAUGCAGUUACACAUAAAUUGUUACGUUGUACAUAUGAGAGAAUAAUUCAAAUACAGUUGGAGUGUUACCAAUGAUUUUUAUUUACAGGACUUUAUACAUUCUGUUGAUGCUGUACAUCGUUUGUCCAACCAUUCAAAUAAAGUUUGACUCUGUACCAUGACUUUUAUUUACAGAACUUAAAUC